ACACGGUCCAGACUCCUACGGGAGGCAGCAGUGGGGAAUAUUGGACAAUGGGGGCAACCCUGAUCCAGCCAUGCCGCGUGUGUGAAGAAGGCCUUCGGGUUGUAAAGCACUUUUGUCCAGAAAGAAAAGCACCUAAUUAAUACCUGGGUGUCAUGACGGUACCGGAAGAAUAAGCACCGGCUAACUUCGUGCCAGCAGCCGCGGUAAUACGAAGGGUGCAAGCGUUACUCGGAAUUACUGGGCGUAAAGCGUGCGUAGGUGGUGCGUUAAGUCUGUCGUGAAAGCCCCGGGCUCAACCUGGGAAUGGCGAUGGAUACUGGCGCGCUAGAGUGCGGUAGAGGAGAGUGGAAUUCCCGGUGUAGCAGUGAAAUGCGUAGAGAUCGGGAGGAACAUCAGUUGCGAAGGCGGCUCUCUGGACCAGCACUGACACUGAGGCACGAAAGCGUGGGGAGCAAACAGGAUUAGAUACCCUGGUAGUCCACGCCCUAAACGA
rnacentral:rRNA from 1 species